rnacentral:misc_RNA from 1 species
GAUGAAGAACGUAGCGAAAUGCGAUAAGUAAUGCGAAUUGCAGAAUUUCCGUGAGUCAUCGAAUCUUUGAACGCACAUUGCGCCCACUGGUAUUCCGGUGGGCAUGCCUGUUCGAGCGUCAUUAUCCUCCCUCAAACCCCGGGUUUGGUGUUGGACCGAAGUUGUGUGAACAACUGGUCUAAAAGACAAUGACGGCGUCCGUGGGACCCUCGGUGCAACGAGCUUUUAGGAGCACGCAUCGAGUUGCAAGGACCUUCCGGGCCGGUCUCCUUUACCAUUUUACAAGGUUGACCUCGGAUCAGGUAGGAAUACCCGCUGAACUUAAGCAUAUCAAUAAGCGGAGGA